rnacentral:rRNA from 2 species
AAACUUGAGAGUUUGAUCAUGGCUCAGAACGUACGCUGGCGGCACGCCUAACACAUGCAAGUCGAACGAAGUAGCAAUACUUAGUGGCAGACGGGUGAGUAACAUGUAGGUAUCUGCCCUUUGGCCUGGAAUAACACGAGGAAACUUGUGCUAAUACCGGAUAAGUCUUUACGGAGAAAGCUUUAUGCACCAUUGGAUGAGCCUGCACUUGAUUAGUUUGUUGGUGGGGUAAUGGCCUACCAAGACUGUGAUCAAUAGCUGAUUUGAGAGGAUGAUCAGCCACAUUGGGACUGAGACACGGCCCAAACUCCUACGGGAGGCAGCAGUGGGGAAUCUUGCACAAUGGAGGAAACUCUGAUGCAGCGAUGCCGCGUGAGUGAAGAAGGCCCUUGGGUUGUAAAGCUCUUUCGUCGGGGAAGAAAAUGACUGUACCCGAAUAAGAAGGUCCGGCUAACUUCGUGCCAGCAGCCGCGGUAAUACGAAGGGACCUAGCGUAGUUCGGAAUUACUGGGCUUAAAGAGUUCGUAGGUGGUUGAAAAAGUUAGUGGUGAAAUCCCAGAGCUUAACUCUGGAACUGCCAUUAAAACUUUUCAGCUAGAGUAUGAUAGAGGAAAGCAGAAUUUCUAGUGUAGAGGUGAAAUUCGUAGAUAUUAGAAAGAAUACCAAUUGCGAAGGCAGCUUUCUGGAUCAUUACUGACACUGAGGAACGAAAGCAUGGGUAGCGAAGAGGAUUAGAUACCCUCGUAGUCCAUGCCGUAAACGAUGUGUGUUAGACGUUGGAAAUUUAUUUUCAGUGUCGCAGGGAAACCGAUAAACACACCGCCUGGGGAGUACGACCGCAAGGUUAAAACUCAAAUGAAUUGACGGGGACCCGCACAAGUAGUGGAGCAUGUGGUUUAAUUCGAAGAUACGCGCAGAACCUUACCAACACUUGACAUGUUCGUCGCGACUCUAAGAGAUUAGAGUUUUCGGUUCGGCCGGACGAAACACAGGUGCUGCAUGGCUGUCGUCAGCUCGUGUCGUGAGAUGUUGGGUUAAGUCCCGCAACGAGCGCAACCCUCACUUUUAGUUGCCAUCAUUAAGUUGGGCACUCUGAAAGAACUGCCAGUGAUAAGCUGGAGGAAGGUGGGGAUGACGUCAAGUCCUCAUGGCCCUUACGUGUUGGGCUACACACGUGCUACAAUGGUAUCUACAACAGGAAGCAAGACUGCGAAGUUAAGCAAAUCCCUAAAAGAUACCUCAGUUCGGAUUGCACUCUGCAACUCGAGUGCAUGAAGCUGGAAUUACUAGUAAUCGUGGAUCAGCGUGCCACGGUGAAUGCGUUCCCGGGUCUUGUACACACCGCCCGUCACACCAUGGGAGUUGGUUCUACCUUAAGGCAAGGUUUAAAACCCUUGACCACGGUAUAGUCAGCGACUGGGGUGAAGUCGUAACAAGGUAGCCGUAGGGGAACCUGCGGCUGGAUUACCUCCUUU